UGGGGAAUUUUGGACAAUGGGCGAAAGCCUGAUCCAGCAAUGCCGCGUGUGUGAAGAAGGCCUUCGGGUUGUAAAGCACCUUUGUCCGGAAAGAAAUCCUUGGCUCUAAUACAGUCGGGGGAUGACGGUACCGGAAGAAUAAGCACCGGCUAACUACGUGCCAGCAGCCGCGGUAAUACGUAGGGUGCAAGCGUUAAUCGGAAUUACUGGGCGUAAAGCGUGCGCAGGCGGUUUGCUAAGACCGAUGUGAAAUCCCCGGGCUCAACCUGGGAACUGCAUUGGUGACUGGCAGGCUAGAGUAUGGCAGAGGGGGGUAGAAUUCCACGUGUAGCAGUGAAAUGCGUAGAGAUGUGGAGGAAUACCGAUGGCGAAGGCAGCCCCCUGGGCCAAUACUGACGCUCAUGCACGAAAGCGUGGGGAGCAAACAGGAUUAGAUACCCUGGUAGUCCACGCCCUAAACGAUGUCAACUAGUUGUUGGGGAUUCAUUUCCUUAGUAACGUAGCUAACGCGUGAAGUUGACCGCCUGGGGAGUACGGUCGCAAGAUUAAAACUCAAAGGAAUUGAC
rnacentral:rRNA from 1 species